ACCCAGCUGAUGAGUCCCAAAUAGAACGAAAAGAGCGUCCUGGAU
rfam:Schistosoma rodhaini strain Burundi genome assembly, scaffold: SROB_scaffold0000506